rnacentral:rRNA from 1 species
ACUCCUACGGGAGGCAGCAGUGGGGAAUAUUGCACAAUGGGCGAAAGCCUGAUGCAGCAACGCCGCGUGGAGGAUGAAGGUUUUCGGAUUGUAAACUCCUUUGAUCGGGGAUGAAAAAAAUGACAGUACCCGAAAAACAAGCCACGGCUAACUACGUGCCAGCAGCCGCGGUAAUACGUAGGUGGCAAGCGUUGUCCGGAAUUAUUGGGCGUAAAGGGCGCGUAGGCGGUCCCUUAAGUCAGAUGUGAAAUCCCGAGGCUUAACCUCGGGCGUGCAUUUGAAACUGGGGGACUAGAGUGCAGGAGAGGUAAGUGGAAUUCCUAGUGUAGCGGUGAAAUGCGUAGAUAUUAGGAGGAACACCAGUGGCGAAGGCGACUUACUGGACUGUAACUGACGCUGAGGCGCGAAAGCGUGGGGAGCAAACAGGAUUAGAUACCCUGGUAGUCCACGCUGUAAACGAUGGAUACUAGGUGUGGGAGGUAUCGACCCCUUCCGUGCCG